rnacentral:rRNA from 1 species
GACGAACGCUGGCGGCGCGCUUAACACAUGCAAGUCGAGCGAUGAAAUUUCGACAGAUCCCUUCGGGGUGAAGAUGAAAUGGAUUAGCGGCGGACGGGUGAGUAACACGUGAGUAACCUGCCUUUGACAUUGGGAUAGCCUCGGGAAACUGGGAUUAAUACCAAAUGACACUAACUGAUCACAUGAUCAAUUAGUCAAAGAAAUUCGGUCAAAGAUGGACUCGCGGCUGAUUAGCUAGUUGGUGAGGUAACGGCCCACCAAGGCGACGAUCAGUAGCCGGCCUGAGAGGGUGAUCGGCCACAUUGGAACUGAGACACGGUCCAAACUCCUACGGGAGGGAGCAGUGGGGAAUAUUGCACAAUGGGGGAAACCCUGAUGCAGCGACGACGCGUGAGCGAAGAAGGCCGUCGGGUCGUAAAGCUCUUUUAUGAGGGAAGAUAAUGACGGUACCUCAAGAAAAAGCCCCGGCUAACUACGUG